rnacentral:rRNA from 3 species
AAAUUGAAGAGUUUGAUCAUGGCUCAGAUUGAACGCUGGCGGCAGGCCUAACACAUGCAAGUCGAACGGUAACAGGAAGCAGCUUGCUGCUUCGCUGACGAGUGGCGGACGGGUGAGUAAUGUCUGGGAAACUGCCUGAUGGAGGGGGAUAACUACUGGAAACGGUGGCUAAUACCGCAUAACGUCGCAAGACCAAAGAGGGGGACCUUCGGGCCUCUUGCCAUCAGAU